AGCUUUUAAAGGCAAACCAGUCGAAAGAUUGGGGCGCAAAGUGAACGAUCUAAAGGUAAAAAUAACCAAAGAUGGCUGCACUGCAAAG
rnacentral:ncRNA from 1 species